rnacentral:lncRNA from 1 species
AGUUAGGCUAAGUGCAUGCUGCACAGAACAAAAAUUGCAUUCAAGGUUGGAAGACUUAAUUGAUGUGCGUGUAGAAAAUAUACAAAAACAAAAAAAAAACGUGGUGAAAAUUUUGCAAAACCAUAAAAGGGAACAUAAACCAAAUAAAAACCAAUAUAAAAGUGUUGUGGCUGCAAAGACGAAAACUUAAAAACCAACCCCUGGAUAAGGUACGCCAAGAAAAAAAUGAAAAAGUGACCUUAUUACAUAAUUCCAUGUAUGUACUGUACAUAGGUUAUGAUCCACGUGUGGCAGGAAAUUGCUGACCUGGCCUGACCCUCGGUCUCGGAGGGGGGGGUCCGCUCCAGUACCACGAUCAUCCGUCCCUCUUUUGGUGCCACCGGACCUUGGCUGCAGGCGAAAAAACGGAUGGACUUGGCGAUCGGGACCGAGUUGUUUAUAUACAUAUAUCUCACGCGCAACUAUUAAACCAUCUAUUAUAUUAUAUCACCGCGCCUUGUGUAAAGAAAUGUUGGUGCUUGCAUAUGUAGGGUGUGGAAAAAUUAGCUCAGCGGUCAUUGCCCUUGCGGCUGACCAUACACCUAUGCGCACUUAAAUAGACCCACCUGACCGUAUGUCACCUAUUCUCUCCUUCUCUCAGGUUAUUAAAAUUGUUCGAUGCCGACAUUCUAAAAGCCACUUAAGGGAAGAAAAGUGAAUCACAAAAAUCUAGAAAAGAAAACUUAAUGAAAAAUUAUGGAUAGAAGAAAAAAAAUAGAAAAGAAAAUUGUUCAAUAAUAUUAAAUAUUCCUAGACAUUAACUUAGAAAUAGAAGAAGAAAAACAUGAAAUUUAUGCGUAGUUAAUAAUAGAUUCUAAAGGGUGCAUCAUCGGUCUCAUUGUGUCCAUGGAAGGGUAUUGGUAAAAUACCUCUUCAUAACGCUUCUUGUUAUUUUGCAUAUUUCUACAUUUCUUUAACAGUUAGAACGUGAAAUUGGGCCCAACGACACCAACAGCUGUUUAAAAGUCUGUAAGUAGACACACAUAUACACACAUACACUCCGGGUCAGGAGAAUAGCGUCUACACAGUGAGACAUGCAUGCUUAACCAUAUAUAAAAUGAAUUAUUAUUAACU